GCCCAAGUGGCGGAACGGUAGACGCAGCGGAUUCAAAAUCCGCCGCCUUUACGGGUGUGUGGGUUCGAAUCCCACCUUGGGCA
rfam:Roseovarius sp. TM1035 1101493006648, whole genome shotgun sequence.